UUAUUUGAGAGUUUGAUCCUGGCUCAGGAUGAACGCUGGCGGCGUGCUUAACACAUGCAAGUCGAACGGACUACUUCGGUAGUUAGUGGCGGACGGGUGAGUAACGUGUGGGUAACCUACCUCAUACAGGGGAAUAACGUUUGGAAACAAACGCUAAUACCACAUAAACUAAUUUUAUCGCAUGAAAAGAUUAGGAAAGAUUUAUCGGUAUGAGAUGGACCCGCAUUGGAUUAGCUAGUUGGUGAGAUAACAGCUCACCAAGGCGACGAUCCAUAGCCGGCCUGAGAGGGUGAACGGCCACACUGGGACUGAGACACGGCCCAGACUCCUACGGGAGGCAGCAGUGGGGAAUAUUGCACAAUGGGCGAAAGCCUGAUGCAGCGACGCCGCGUGAAGGAAGAAGGUUUUCGGAUCGUAAACUUCUAUCAGCAGGGAAGAAAAAAAUGACGGUACCUGACUAAGAAGCCCCGGCUAACUACGUGCCAGCAGCCGCGGUAAUACGUAGGGGGCGAGCGUUAUCCGGAAU
rnacentral:ncRNA from 1 species